UCAUAUGUUUGGCGGCGAGCGAUAGUCUAAUGUUUUUUGUCUGCUGCUUGCACACGUAGACGACGAUGUAAACAGCUAGGCUGGCCGGUUUGUUACAAGCGGAAUAAACGAACUUUUCAAUCAUGGCAUCGGGCGGCGAAGCAAAACUAGAUAUGUACGAUGACUUCAGUGGGUCUGUUGAAGGGGAAAUGAUAGUCCCAAACCAGCAACAAAACCAACAGCAAGGAAAACCUGACUUCAACACUUUAGAUGAACCAAUCAGGGAUACUGUGUUACGUGACCUCAAGGCUGUUGGUAUUAAGUUCUUUCAUGUCCUCUACCCCAAAGAAAAGAAAAGCCUGUUAAAAGAAUGGGAUCUUUGGGGACCAUUACUUCUCUGCACUUUUAUGGCUAUGAUUCUUCAAGGCUCAUCUGAAGUGGCAAAUGAUUCAAAAGAUGGAGGGCCAGAAUUUGCAGAGGUUUUUGUGAUUGUCUGGAUUGGAUCAAUGAUAGUAACAGUGAAUUCAAAGCUCCUUGGGGGAAAUAUGAAUGUGGGGUUUCAUAAAUGGAAACAAUCCUGUAUAGAAAGGCUUUCCAUCAGCAGAUAUUGUAUGCAUGGCUUUACUACCACACUGUCCUCACUUCUUUACCUCGAGAAAGCAGUGUCGUCAGAUCAUUUUUCCAGAGUGUUUGCGUCCUUGGUUAUUGCUUACUUCCUACAACAAUUGCUCUUAUCAUGUGUCGAAUAAUUCUUCUCAUGGAACAAACAACAUUUCUAUUUGCUAUCAGAUUUAUAGUGACAGUUGUAGGAUUUGCCUGGGCAACAUUUGCUUCCAUGGUUUUCCUCGGUGACAGUCAGCCACCGGGAAGAAAAGCUCUUGCAGUGUAUCCAAUGUUCUUGUUUUAUUUCAUUAUAUCAUGGCUUGUGAUUUCCCAUACGACAACAUAAAUGUUAUUUAUAGAUACAAUUGAUCAUGUGAUGAAGGUGCAAACAUUCCAGAUUGAUUUGUAUAUUUUGUACACUAACUGAGAAAACUGAUUAAAUAUGCCAGACUUUUAGGCAUUCAACUUGUCAAUUUAUUCUUCUUGUAAAAAUCAGUCAGUUGUCAGUUUAUUUCUGUGUUACUUGCCAAAAAGGUUUACCUGCAGCGAAAUAGUUGCUUGUUACUCAAAAAUGAAUAAUGUGGCAAUUCAAGCAAGAUCUAGUCUUUGUCCAAUGAAAUUUUAUGCCUUUUUUAUACCUUUUAACUAUAAAUAUUUUCCAGCUCAGUAUAAGUGUAUAGUGACAUAUAUAGUGAAACCUUGACUUUAUUACACAAGGGACUGGCCAGAUAUACGAGGGUUGUCCAGAAAGUAAGUUCCAAUCAGUCGCUAAAUGGAAACCACAGUGAAAAUCAGAAACAUUUUAUUUGCAAGAGUUAGCUACACUUUCCAGAUACUUUUCUACAUAGUCGCCACUCCGACUUGGAAGUUUGGUAUAAUGCUCCAACAAAUGUCUAACACCAUUGUCAUAGAAGGCAGCCAGCCACCUGUGCUUUCCAAUAAAUCUCUACGCUGGUCUAUAGUGGGUAGCCUGCACCCAAAUGUUGUCUUUGUAUUCAACGUUUCAUGUGAACAGAGAUGAUACUCAGGACAAACCAAUGAGGGCUGUGUUGUGGGUGAUCGAACAUUUCCUAUUGAAAAUGCGCAGGAGCGUCUUCACUGCCCCUGCAGAGUAUGGCUGAGAAUUGCUAUGAAGAGGUAUGUCCGUGGCAGUUGUGUUAGGUGGGCUGCCUUCCUUAAGGCGAAGACUCUCAGUGGGCCCUCCUGCUUGGUGGGAGACAUCAUUGUCCUAGGCACCUUUACUCGCUAACAGUGCGCUCUCAACUGAAAAGUGUGUCUUGAUGCGAUCGACCAUCAUACUAGAGACAUAACCCAACACAUCUGUGCAAAGCUUCAUCGGGUUUUCACUGUGGUGUCCAUUUUGACCGAUCGAAUCUUACUGUCUGGACAACCGUCGUAUUAUAACAGAAGAAAGAAAAAUGCUUGUUAAUAGUUAACUUAAGUGCAGGCCAGGAGACAUGAGUGGUGGUAGCCACCUUAUUCAUGUUGGUACAGCAAUCCUGUGUGACACAAGAAAAUAUACAUUCAUUAAUGGAUCAAAAAAAUUACAUAGGUAUCAAGGUUUCACUAUAUUACCUCUCAUUGUCUUAUUAUAUAAUUUAUAUAUGUUAGUGCCAUAAGGAACAAAAUGGUAGUUUUAAGUUGAUGCUGAAUAAAUUAUUUGUUUGAUUCCCAUGUGGAAUCAGGAUGUAAAAGUGAUGCAGUACUUGAGGAUAUUUCUUGCUGAACAUGUAUAAUAGUAAUUUUAGUAACUGUUAACAAUUACACUGUGUUUUAAUGUUUCAUUUACAUUAAAAAAAAUCACAUAUGACUACUGCAUGUAUAUACAUUCACAUUUCACUUUUAUUUCAUAAAUAAACUGAUCACAAACAUA